GACGAACGCUGGCGGCGUGCCUAACACAUGCAAGUCGAGCGGAGAUGAUGUGAGGAAGCUUUCGGAUGGAAUCACAUUAUUUUAGCGGCGGACGGGUGAGUAACGCGUGAGCGACCAACCUUGCACAGGGGGAUAACGGACCGAACGGUUUACUAAUACCGCAUGAGACCACGGUGUUGCAUGACACAGAGGUCAAAGGAGCAAUCCGGUGCAAGACGGGCUCGCGUCCGAUUAGGUAGUUGGAGGGGUAACGGCCCACCAAGCCUAUGAUCGGUAGCCGACCUGAGAGGGUGAUCGGCCACAUUGGAACUGAGAUACGGUCCAAACUCCUACGGGAGGCAGCAGUGGGGAAUAUUGGGCAAUGGGGGAAACCCUGACCCAGCAACGCCGCGUGAAGGAAGAAGGUUUUCGGAUUGUAAACUUCUGUCCUUGGUGAAGAGAAGAAGACGGUAGCCAAGGAGGAAGCCCCGGCUAACUACGUGCCAGCCGCCGCAGUAA
rnacentral:rRNA from 1 species